rnacentral:rRNA from 1 species
AUUGAACGCUGGCGGCAGGCCUAACACAUGCAAGUCGGGCGGAUGAAGGGAGCUUGCUCCUGGAUUCAGCGGCGGACGGGUGAGUAAUGCCUAGGAAUCUGCCUGGUAGUGGGGGAUAACGUCCGGAAACGGGCGCUAAUACCGCAUACGUCCUGAGGGAGAAAGUGGGGGAUCUUCGGACCUCACGCUAUCAGAUGAGCCUAGGUCGGAUUAGCUAGUUGGUGGGGUAAAGGCCUACCAAGGCGACGAUCCGUAACUGGUCUGAGAGGAUGAUCAGUCAAACUGGAACUGAGACACGGUCCAGACUCCUACGGGAGGCAGCAGUGGGGAAUAUUGGACAAGGGGCGAAAGCCUGAUCCAGCCAGGCCGCGUGUGUGAAGAAGGUCUUCGGAUUGUAAAGCACUUUAAGUUGGGAGGAAGGGCAGUAAGUUAAUACCUUGCUGUUUUGACGUUACCAACAGAAUAAGCACCGGCUAACUUCG